GAGGAUUCUUCUCUGAGUUUUGGGGCCAGUAGUUGCAGUUUCAGCUUUGGGUAGAGAAGGAGGAGACGAUGAUGCUGAUAUGGUCAAUAAUAAUAGAAUCAAAAAGAAACUGAAAUGAUGAUGAUGAUGACUCUGAGCUUUCAUGGUGAAUUUUUCUGGGUUGAUCUUAUUCUCUUCUUCUCUUCUUUUUCUUUUCCUACAUUCAUCUCUUUCUCCGCUCUUGUUUUUGGCCGUAAAAAAUUUCUCUCUCAACAGAGAGAGAAAGAAAGUGAAGAACACGGAAUGCGUGUAGGAAGGGAAGCAAGCUUCUUUUGGCUGCAAGAUCUGCUCGCUCCAACUGCUGAUGUCAUCACUCGCCG
rnacentral:misc_RNA from 1 species